UUUUUAUAUCGAAUCAGAACAUUUCAACUAUAUAGAAUAUUCAUCGCAUUUGAAGAAAUACAAAAUAAAAUAACCUGACAUUCCAUCUUGAAAUCACAAAAUACAUACGUAGGAUGAAGAUAAAUAAUCGAUAUCCGCGGCGAUUUAUGUGGGAUAUCAUCCUGUGACCACAUAAAACUUAUUAUUUAUUAUGUAACAAAUUGUGAGUAAUUCAAGUAAAAAAAAUCGUGACUACCUCAGUGUCUUCAGAGUCAGUAGUAAUAUUUGUUGGAGUUUUUGGAAACAUGGACUGCCCCAUUUUUGCCAUUCGCGAUAUGAUAGAAGCUUUAUCGCUCGUUGUUUUAUGCACCAACCUGUUGCUUUGAUGAAGAAUGACUAUCUACCGAUUUAACUUGGGUCCCAAAAAUAGCAGCCAAGUUGGAUCUAAGAAGAAUUUGUAUGCUGAUUUUAAUAAAAGUACUUAUAUUCCUCAGCUUCUUCGAUAAAAAUAAAUUCAAGAUAUGGAAAGGAACAAAACAAAACGAUAUUUCAGGAAGAAAUCAAAAAUUUGACAGCAUAACCUUUAUGUCAUGUUACUUGAUUACAUUGUUUAGAAAUGACUAGUGACGUAAACAAACACAAGUGUAGAAUAUUCUUCUGUCCUGUCAGACUGUAAAUAAUCCGUGUUGAUGAAAUAAAAACAAAAG